rnacentral:rRNA from 1 species
UGGGGAAUUUUGGACAAUGGGCGAAAGCCUGAUCCAGCAAUGCCGCGUGUGUGAAGAAGGCCUUCGGGUUGUAAAGCACUUUUGUCCGGAAAGGAAUCCUUGGCUCUAAUACAGUCGGGGGAUGACGGUACCGGAAGAAUAAGCACCGGCUAACUACGUGCCAGCAGCCGCGGUAAUACGUAGGGUGCAAGCGUUAAUCGGAAUUACUGGGCGUAAAGCGUGCGCAGGCGGUUUGCUAAGACCGAUGUGAAAUCCCCGGGCUCAACCUGGGAACUGCAUUGGUGACUGGCAGGCUAGAGUAUGGCAGAGGGGGGUAGAAUUCCACGUGUAGCAGUGAAAUGCGUAGAGAUGUGGAGGAAUACCGAUGGCGAAGGCAGCCCCCUGGGCCAAUACUGACGCUCAUGCACGAAAGCGUGGGGAGCAAACAGGAUUAGAUACCCUGGUAGUCCACGCCCUAAACGAUGUCAACUAGUUGUUGGGGAUUCAUUUCCUUAGUAACGUAGCUAACGCGUGAAGUUGACCGCCUGGGGAGUACGGUCGCAAGAUUAAAACUCAAAGGAAUUGACGGGGUCAUA